ensembl:lncRNA
CACAUCACAACAUCAUGCAGUGUACGGGGAGUUAAAGAGCAAAUGCUUUAGUUCCGGGUACGUGCCUGGAAGAGAAGAAGAACUAUGUUCCCCAAGAGCCUUUUCGAGUACUGUUAUCAUUCCUGCUCAAGGGAACAGAUAUAAGGGCACAGGUCAUCUGACUUGUCCCUCUUCUCGUCUCACUGUGUUCCCUGCCGGAUCGACUCACCUCUGCUGCGCCCAACUGCACGCAAGGCUUCAGUAUUAGUGUGAUACCAGUGGAGACUCAGACUGCAGUAACAUGCAAAAAUCAAAACUUCAAAAGAAGGAGGAAAUCGAACUGAUGUGUUUCUUGGCGAGGUACAUGAACAUUUUUCCAACAGAAGUGACGUGUCUCACAGGAGCUUUCAGUAUAUGUUACAGCGUAAUCUGUAUCAAACUGAACAUACAGUUUCCCCUGUUACAAACAACUUCUUAAACAGAACUCAAGGCUCAGCUCUUCAGAACAUGCUAGGCACCUUCUUCUGUCUCAUGGGAUCUGAUUCUACCUUACAGGCAUCACAGACCUCCAGGAAAAUCUGUGCCCUUCCAAGACACCAUCUAACCACAAAGGUACUGAUCAGGUACUGACCACUAUGCCCCACAGCUUGUGCUACCUUGAGACUUAGAAGCGCAAAGGAAAGCAGCGCAUCUUUCACCUUGUGCAUGGCCUUAAGACUAACCCUGGUACUGCAUUCUUAUGUAACUUUAGACAGUAUCCUUUAUACACAAAUGUAGUUGUAAAGUCUUGAUCCUCCAUGCACAGACACACACCUUAGUUUUGGCAUUUCUUAAUUCUGAGUUCCUGAUGUACAAAAGAUCUGGCAUUAUAUACAGACUUUUUAUUUUUCUGUUUGUUUGUUUUUUGUUUGUUGUUGUUUUAAAUAUAAAUUACCUUGGUGUCCUGCAGGUUACUUUAAGCAGAAAAAUCCUCUGUUCCCAUAAGGGGAAGAAGGAACAAGACUCUUAGUAUUUGUGGUGACAGAACAAGGGGGAAUGGCUUCAACCUUAAAGAGGGUAGAUUUAGGUUGGACUUGAGGAAAAACAAACCCUUUCACAGUGAGGGUGUCAAGGCACUGAAACAGGCUGCCUAGAGAUGCUGAUUCCCAUCCCUGGAGAUGAAACUGCAUCAGACCCUAGGCAACCUGAUCUAGCUGUGCAAGUCCCAGGGGAGCUGGACUAGAUGACCUUUAAAGGUCCCUUCCAACUCUAAGGGUUCUACGAUUCUAUAAAACCUAUCAGAGCAGUUCUUUAGGCUAUAAUAUUUGCUCCAGUACCUUUAGGAUGAAUGGUAAGCAAUCAAGUCAUUAUUUUGGCUAUUGUUCCUAUAGGAUAUGAUGCUCAUUUAAUGGCACAACAUUACAACUGCUUGGAUUUCUGUGUACUUACCUAUAUUACCAGCAGAGCUGAAGUAAGCAUACAUCAAUAGCUAGAUUAUAAUACUUGGAUGUAUCCAAUAUUUGUCAAAUGAUAUUGAUACAGUUCUACACUUGUGAGAUUGAGCUAUGGAAUCUCAAGUUGUCACAUUAUACAAAAUCAUUUACAUAGAGAGAAAAUAACUGCAGCAAAAUCAGAACAACUAUAUGUAUCCCCAUAAAAUUGGAACUAGGUUUCACAUUUCUACAAAACCAAAAUCCAAAUCUUUCAAGCUUAAAUUUUUGUCAGUGUAAAAAUCUUUUCCUUCCCUCUAAGAAGUGAGGGAAAGCAUUUAAGUUUCCUAGGAACUUAACCACCCGGUUGGACAGAUCUCCUCCAAACAAACGUGUCUCACUUGACUUUUCUGAUGGUGAAUGAAGAUGAACAGUUCUGGUACAGUAUUGUGCCCUGCUUCCUCUGGAUAAUCCUAAUUUUAAGACAGAUUACAAAGCAGAAAAUACUUAUUAUGACCCCUGCCAUCCUCUGUGCUCCCUUUUUUUUUUUUUUUUUCUUUUUUGCCAGCAACAUGUCAGCACAACUACACUACAUCUUCUAUCAGAAACCCAGUUUCUUCCUGCAGAUUCUAUUUUUAUAUUUCUUAGAUGGAAAAGAGCUUUCUUUUUCCCCAUUUGUUCUGAUUCUGUGAGAUCUACUUAAUGUGAUGCUAACAAGGGAAGAUGCAAAACUUAGCCAUUUAUGUAUUUGUUUCAGUUCAAAUAAAUGAAGGCGUUCCUUUCCAGUGACCUCACGCAUCUAAACUAAGUAUUUACUCAGACUUGUAGUUACAUACUGAGCUCGAAGAGCUGUUUGGAUAAGAAACCUAACAUUUGUCAGACACUGUAGUAAAGUGUUCUUUCUACUGCAGCUCUUUAGGGUCACACCAGAAAUAAACAUGAAAUAUUUUUAACACUCAUAUGUUUAUCCAAAAUAGUUUACUAUGUAUACUGCCUAUUUUCUAAUAGCAUGAUUGCAGAUGAUAAUUAUGAAAGAAAUAUUUGAAAUUUUCAAAAAAGUGCUAUUAUUGUGAAAUGCAUUAUGUGCCUACUAAUGCCUGAAGCAUACUUUGAAGAAGAAAACUGUAAAAUAGGAAGGAAUAAAGUAAAGUAAAAAACUACAAUAAAUGCUAAUUCACAGGGGUUCUAAAAAUAUAGCAAUAAGAAAAAAUAAAAAAUGGGGCCAAUUUUGAUCUUAUUUUUUAAAAAGCAAUUAUUUCUAAAUGAGCUCCACUGUUCAAAAUAGUCCAAAGAAUAUGCAAUAUCCAGUCUGGAACAAGGCAAAAUUCUCAAAAAAGAAAAAAAAAAAUAGUCAGCUGUUUAGGAAUAUUUAGGAUGCCCAUGUUACCUGAUCUAAAGCGAGAUCUGUAGUCUGCUUUUUCCAUUAACUCCAUCAGACAAGCAAUUUAAAGUAUAUAUUUAUCUUACUUUUCAGUUAAAGUCAAAGAUUGUCAAAGAAAAAUUAGAAUUUUAUGUAGGCUUUACAGAGAAGUUCCAGAGAAAUUCUGAGGUUUUUUCCUGAGAAGGAAUCUUUUCAGAGCUUAACAACAGAAAAUAUUCAGUACCUUCCAGAUUCAUGUUUUGCUAAUCCUUGAUAAAAACCAGAUAGAGCUAAAAAUUGAGAGAAGAAAGAAUUACUGUUCUAUUUCCUUAAUAUGCUGCAUUUAAUAUUGUCUCAUACAACUUGGCAGAGAGAGAGGUUCUUUGCUGCAGCUGCAUUUACAAAGUUCAGUGGCUCUGCAUUAAUAUCUACCAAGGGUAAUCAGCUGGCUGCUGUUGCAGUCACCAGCCUUGAUGAUGUUUUUAAACAUAAUUGCCAGUGCCAUCACAGUCACCAAACAAACAAAAAAAAAUCCCACCACAAAUCUGGAAAAAUGAAAAUCAACAAUAGUUACAGAAUCGUAUAGAUCUACAAAAGACUUACCGGGGAGUUCUAAACUCAUUAUGCAAGUAUUUUUCAAAUAUUUACAGGGCCACAGAGUUCAGCAUAUUUCUUAAAAGCAGAAAACAUACAGUAAGUCAUGGCAAAUCUGCAGUUUGGCAGCACAGAGGCUGAAAUAAUAACUUUUCCUACUUGGAUGUACCUGAAAGUAAAAACCAGAAGUAGGUGCUACCAUAGACCAUGUGCUCAUUGUAGUGAUAAUGCAGCUUCCCCUACUUCCUGAGUCCAAGGAAAACCAAAUUUCACUGCUGGCAGAAAUUCCUCUAUCAGGUGUAUGCAUGUCUGCUGUGUUCAGAGAGAGCUCAAUUGUAAAGAAACUGGCUUGCCUUUUGCAGCUAGCACUGAGAAAAGCACAUAACUUAAUUCUUUUUGAACUCUUACAGCAGCUUGUGCUGCUCUGCCUCUCAUGGGAAUCCAUCUGCUUCUGUCCUGUAUUGACAGAAAACUUGGAGUCGCCAGCUCCUACUGCUUGCACACACUCAUAUCCACUUUUACUGGUGCAAUAAUUGAUCUAAAGGGAAAAAUCAAUGCAUUGCUCAUAGAGACACAGAGAAGAGUGCAGCAGCCCAGAAAAAAUUGGAAUAUAAUGCACAGAGAAGGUUCAGAGGAUGGAUGGCAAGGUACUAGUGUUCUGAAGUCUAAUACAUAGAUUUACUUUAUUCUCCAUUGUGCAUAUUUUUUUACAGUGAUUCAGACUGCACAGACUAAGGUGUAGGACAUUAUGAAUACUUGAUAUUUGCAAAGAAUUUAAAAAACAAAAAAAUGCACUUUAAGAGAUUACAGAAACAAAUAGAUUGCUUGACACAGUGCACAAAAAAAAAAAAAAAAAAAAAAAAGCCCCAUCCAAAACUAAUAAGAGUUAUUUAUUGGCUUUCUCAGAGCACUUGUUUGUAUUUCUAGUGUCAUCAAGGAUGACAUUCAUUCAUUAUAAAUCCCAAACAUACUCAAUAUCUUACAAAGACAGGUAAAGCAAAAAGGGUGAAAAAUAAAAGAUAAAAAUCACGUUUAGGUCCUCGGAUCAUAUCUCAGGGACUUCCUUCACAUUGUGGCACUUAGCUGUAAAGGCACCACAAUCCUAUUUGACUGAACCCCCUGUUUAGUGGGACGUUUGUAUUUGCAUAUGCUUCCAGCAAGCAGAAUCCCAGCGUGGGAUACAAACACUUCUCCUCUCCUGACCUUCCCCCCCCCCCUUUUUUUUUUUUGUCACCCACCCCCGCUCUGCUGGGGCUCACACAGGAGAGGCGAGAUCCAACUCAAAAUGGCACCACUCAUUUAUUCACAAAACAGUUUGAAUUCACUUGAGUAAAGACUGCUUCCACCUGUUUAGGAAUGCUAGUGUCCCCUGGCUGCAUGAGGUGUGGUCGUUUGCCACCAUCAAACAGAUAUUCCACUAAGCUCUAAAUAAAUCAUUAGCCCACAGCCAGAUAAAAUACACCACACAGUAAUUUCAGGUGAAGCCUUUCCACACAACUGAUCCCGUUUCAUGGGGGCAUACGUACUGAAUCAUAUCCAAGCUUAUGAACAGGAUUAAUACAUACAGCUUCAUACAGGAUCUUGACUGACUUUUUUAGUUUCAGCCACUAAGGGACAUUUUGGUCUUUGAAGGACAAUUUGCCAAUGACUUUUGGAAUAAUGGCUCAAAUAUGAAAUCCCACAGGAAAGGCAUCUUUUAACUGACUCACUUCCCCGCCCAACAAAGCAAUCAGUCAAUAGUCGAACAAGAUGAGGGUUAUCCAUAUUUCUAAGUGAGAGGGAAACUAGACCUGCUCACUUUGAAACUAGCAGGAAAUAUUGAGUUUAUUGUACAAUAGGAACUUCAGGAGCCACAGUACUUUCAUUCUUAUUGCACUCCUAUAGAUGUAUUUGUAGGAUUUUAUCUUUUUUAUUUAGAAAGCAGUAAAGCUUUCUCAAUAAAAGCAGGGUUCUUACGACCAUAACCAGGGGGCACUGCACAGUGCAGGCUGAAUCCUGCGCCACUCAUCCUCUCAGAUCUGGGGAUAUGAGCAUGUCAGGAUAAGGAGAGAGUACAGAGAAUUUAUGUUAACUCUUCUUUAGCAUUAAGUUUUGCAUUUGUGUCACUGAUUGCUACUAGUGUUGUGUUGAAAACUCUAAAAACAUCUUUCAAGGGGCAGAGUUUACAGGCUUUGGCCCUGUAUGGAAGGCAACUGCUUGCUUACUAUUGGAACAGUGUCAGGGUAGGUCUGCAACAGAUACACAGUAUUUCACAUAUCUUCAGUAAUUGUUUAAGUUCACUCAUUGGCGUUUGUCCUUCCCUGCUCAAUAGCUACUAGAGAGCCAUUUUCUGACCUGGUUAGAAACAACUAGAAUGAAAAAAUCUGCUUGUUAGUUUUCUUAUUGUCUCAGCUCUCGCAGGGUUCAAUAUUUAUAUUUUAAUUAUAAAAGAAAAAAACAUCAAUACAUCUUGGUGAAUAUUCAAGCGUUUCUGGUUUCAGCUGUUCUCAGAGAACUCUUCCCCACCAUAAGAAAGGAUAUAAUAGCUUCUGAUUUUAACUGAAAAGAAGUAAAAGAUGUCAUAAAUAACAUACUGACAUAUAAUUUUAAGCAACUUAGAAAAAAAAGCAAGCUCUUCAUCAUCUUUCUAUAAAUACUUUGGCCCAUGUAACUAAUAAAUAUACCCUAACUGGAGAGUAGGUUGCUUCAUUACAGCAUUUUUGUGUCAGACUAUAUCAGGAUUUUCCUUUGAAGUAUCUUUCAUAAAUGGACUUACAUCAGUUUGAGCUAAUCCUUACAUACCAUGCUAUGCUUACUGCGCUCUGGAGGCAAAAUUGAAAUAUCCAACUUCAUACUGAUAUGGAAUCACCGCCUACUAAUCUCAUCCUUGUAGAGGGAGUCAUUCCACUGAUUUAUUCAAAUAAAAGGAUAUAAAAGAAAACACAGAAAGGUCCAUUAGCAUUCCACCAUACCACAUCAGUUUAACCUGUAUAUCCCUCACCUCUCAAAAAGUGCUGGUUAAGAAGAUGCCUGAAAGUAUGACAUAUCAUUUACAAUUUUAUGUUCACUGUAUUCUCCAAACUUAGUUCUCUGCAUCACUCCUAUUUUCUGAACUAUUUGAAAUUAGUUCUAUUUUUGAACAUAAUGGGACUGAGUGACAAAAGAGAAUAAGAGGAGAAGAUAAAAAACAAAACCACAACUACACUAACACAACAACAAAAAUUAAACAUGUUCUGCUCAACAGCACAAAGAGUAGGCAAUUUCUAGGAGCUUUUGCCAGGAGGUAAUGUAUAUCAUCUCCAAAGAGUGUGAGG